GGACUGAUUCCCGAAUGACGCAGGAUUGAUUUUGUAGGAUUACUCGUGAGGCAGCUGAGUACUGUAAUAAGCACGCGUGCCAGCACGCGGUAUACGGAGGGUCGAGCUCGGAUUUGGUUAAAGGCUAGGCGGGCCUGUAAGUCAGUGGUGAAAUCUCAUAGCUUAACUAUGAAACUGCCAUUGAUACUGCAGGCCUUGAGUAAAUUUGAAGUGGCUGGAAUAAGUAGUGUAGCGGUGAAAUGCAUAGAUAUUACUUAGAACACCGAUUGCGAAGGCAGGUCACUAAGAUUUAACUGACGCUGAUGGACGAAAGCGUGGGGAGCGAACAGGAUUAGAUACCCUGGUAGUCCACGCCGUAAACGAUGCUAACUCGUUUUUGGAUCUUCGGGUUCAGAGACCAAGCGAAAGUGAUAAGUUAGCCACCUGGGGAGUACGUCCGCAAGGAUGAAACUCAAAGGAAUUGACGGGGGCCCGCACAAGCGGUGGAUUAUGUGGUUUAAUUCGAUGAUACGCGAGGAACCUUACCAAGACUUAAAUGGGAAUUGACAGAUUUAGAAAUAGAUCCUCCUUCGGGCAAUUUUCAAGGUGCUGCAUGGUUGUCGUCAGCUCGUGCCGUGAGGUGUUAGGUUAAGUCCUGCAACGAGCGCAACCCCUGCCAACAGUUGCCAUCAUUCAGUUGGGGACUCUGUUGGGACUGCCUACGCAAGUAGAGAGGAAGGUGGGGAUGACGUCAAAUCAUCACGGCCCUUACGUCUUGGGCCACACACGUAAUACAAUGGCCGGUACAGAGGGCAGCUACCUGGUGACAGGAUGCGAAUCUCGAAAGCCGGUCUCAGUUCGGAUUGGAGUCUGCAACUCGACUCUAUGAAGCUGGAAUCGCUAGUAAUCGCGCAUCAGCCAUGGCGCGGUGAAUACGUUCCCGGGCCUUGUACACACCGCCCGUAAUCACUAGUGAAUUC
rnacentral:rRNA from 1 species